CGAUUAGGACACAGAGCCAGAGAUCGGCUACUUAAGGGGAGGAGAGGAUUCUCCCUCAGAGCACUCCUCCAGUCCGGACUAGAUACUGCACCGUUUUUCCUCGUGGUUCUGAAGCUUGCCUUGUCGGGACCUCAACUCAUCAUGGUCUGGUUGAGCUGCACGGGCCAGCUGGUCCUGAUGUCCACCCUGGUCCUCACCACCUCCUCCCUGUCCAACCCCAGGCCUGAUGAAGACAACAACGUCCUUCAGAGUCAGACGGGUGUCCACUCACGUGGGAGCUGCUCCAACGCGCCGCUGGGAGA